rnacentral:rRNA from 1 species
UACGUAGGGGGCAAGCGUUGUCCGGAAUCAUUGGGCGUAAAGCGCGCGUAGGCGGCCCGGUAAGUCCGUUGUAAAAGUCGAAGGCUCAACCUUCGAAAGCCGAUGGAUACUGCCGGGCUAGAGUCCGGAAGAGGCGAGUGGAAUUCCUGGUGUAGCGGUGGAAUGCGCAGAUAUCAGGAGGAACACCGGUGGCGAAGGCGGUUCUCUGGGCAUGACCUGACGCUGAGGAGCGAAAGUGUGGGGAGCGAACAGG